AGCGUAGGUGGAUAUUUAAGUGGGAUGUGAAAUACCCGGGCUUAACCUGGGUGCUGCAUUCCAAACUGGAUAUCUAGAGUGCAGGAGAGGAAAGGAGAAUUCCUAGUGUAGCGGUGAAAUGCGUAGAGAUUAGGAAGAAUACCAGUGGCGAAGGCGCUUCUCUGGACUGUAACUGACGCUGAGGCUCGAAAGCGUGGGAGCAAACA
rnacentral:rRNA from 1 species